rnacentral:rRNA from 1 species
GACGAACGCUGGCGGCGUGCUUAACACAUGCAAGUCGAACGGAAGGGCCCCUUCGGGGGUGCUCGAGUGGCGAACGGGUGAGUAACACGUGGGUGAUCUGCCCUGCACUUUGGGAUAAGCCUGGGAAACUGGGUCUAAUACCGGAUAGGACUCUUGGCUGCAUGGUUGGGAGUGGAAAGCUUUUGCGGUGUGGGAUGGGCCCGCGGCCUAUCAGCUUGUUGGUGGGGUGAUGGCCUACCAAGGCGACGACGGGUAGCCGGCCUGAGAGGGUGUCCGGCCACACUGGGACUGAGAUACGGCCCAGACUCCUACGGGAGGCAGCAGUGGGGAAUAUUGCACAAUGGGCGCAAGCCUGAUGCAGCGACGCCGCGUGGGGGAUGACGGCCUUCGGGUUGUAAACCUCUUUCAGUACCGACGAAGCGGAAGUGACGGUAGGUACAGAAGAAGCACCGGCCAACUACGUGCCAGCCGCCGCC